rnacentral:rRNA from 1 species
AUGAACGCUGGCGGCGUGCUUAACACAUGCAAGUCGCACGGUGAAGGCGGAGCUUGCUCUGCUGGAUCAGUGGCGAACGGGUGAGUAACACGUGAGCAAUCUGCCCCUGACUCUGGGAUAAGCGCUGGAAACGGCGUCUAAUACUGGAUACGAGCUGCGAAGGCAUCUUCAGCAGCUGGAAAGAAUUUCGGUCAGGGAUGAGCUCGCGGCCUAUCAGCUUGUUGGUGAGGUAAUGGCUCACCAAGGCGUCGACGGGUAGCCGGCCUGAGAGGGUGACCGGCCACACUGGGACUGAGACACGGCCCAGACUCCUACGGGAGGCAGCAGUGGGGAAUAUUGCACAAUGGGCGAAAGCCAGAUGCAGCAACGCCGCGUGAGGGACGACGGCCUUCGGGUUGUAAACCUCUUUUAGCAGGGAAGAAGCGAAAGUGACGGUACCUGCAGAAAAAGCGCCGGCUAACUACGUG